UGAGGCCUAUGAUGAUUUAAAGAUUUGCCUACAUUGUCCGAUUUGCAUAUCAUGAUGGAGGGAUCUGAAAACUGUACUGAGGCCACA